AAAUCUCAAACCCUUUGCUUUUCGAAGCCCUGGGUUUGGACUUGGAGGUUUUUGCUGGCCCCCGGCGGUCGUCGGCUCCUCUGAAAUGCAUUAGCUGGACUUCGGUUCGCGUGAUCGGUGUGAUAGUUAAUUCGAUUCGCCGUGCGCUUGCCUAACGGGUCUGCUUCUAAUGGCCUUCGGGCAAGGCGGAAGCCUUCUAUUGACC
rnacentral:misc_RNA from 1 species